UACGGAGGGUGCGAGCGUUAAUCGGAAUUACUGGGCGUAAAGGGUGCGUAGGUGGUCAAAUAAGCUAGCUGUGAAAUACCCGGGCUUAACCUGGGAGGGUCAGCUAGGACUGUUUGGCUUGAGUAUGGGAGAGGGCAGUGGAAUUUCCGGUGUAGCGGUGAAAUGCGUAGAGAUCGGAAGGAACACCAGUGGCGAAGGCGGCUGCCUGGCCUAAUACUGACACUGAGGCACGAAAGCGUGGGGAGCAAACAGG
rnacentral:rRNA from 1 species